UUUACUUUUGAGGGGCCAACACAUUAUCACUCCCAUCGCAUCAAAAAGCAAAGCUUGGUCAGGUGCCUUUGGCGUUUGUUAUUGACGCAGAAAGUCUCCUUUAGCGUCAUAUUUGUCCGUGCUUGGUUGGGACUUUUGGCGUCAGUUUUUGACACUCUCAGGACUUGCUUCUUGCCUUUUGGCAUCAUAUUUAGAUGCGCUUGGUCAGGACUCUUGGAUUCACUUUUUGACGCUCUGGGU